rnacentral:rRNA from 2 species
UUCGGUGGCGAUAGCGGCGGGGUCACACCCGUUCCCAUUCCGAACACGGAAGUUAAGCCCGCCAGCGCCGAUGGUACUUGGGUGGAGACGCCCUGGGAGAGUAGGACGCCGCCGGAU